rnacentral:rRNA from 1 species
GGAGCGAAAGCGACGUUCAACCGCAAAAGAAGCAGAGGGGGCUUAGUGGUGGGGUGACUGCGUACCUUUUGUAUAAUGGGUCAGCGACUUAUAUUCUGUAGCAAGGUUAACCGAAUAGGGGAGCCGGAGGGAAACCGAGUCUUAACCGGGCGUUAAGUUGCAGGGUAUAGACCCGAAACCCGGUGAUCUAGCCAUGGGCAGGUUGAAGGUUGGGUAACACUAACUGGAGGACCGAACCGACUAAUGUUGAAAAAUUAGCGGAUGACCUGUGGCUGGGGGUGAAAGGCCAAUCAAACCGGGAGAUAGCUGGUUCUCCCCGAAAGCUAUUUAGGUAGCGCCUCGUGAAUUCAUCUCCGGGGGUAGAGCACUGUUUCGGCUAGGGGGCCAUCCCGGCUUACCAACCCGAUGCAAACUGCGAAUACCGGAGAAUGUUAUCACGGGAGACACACGGCGGGUGCUAACGUCCGUCGUGAAGAGGGAAACAACCCAGACCGCCAGCUAAGGUCCCAAAGUCAUGGUUAAGUGGGAAACGAUGUGGGAAGGCCCAGACAGCCAGGAUGUUGGCUUAGAAGCAGCCAUCAUUUAAAGAAAGCGUAAUAGCUCACUGGUCGAGUCGGCCUGCGCGGAAGAUGUAACGGGGCUAAACCAUGCACCGAAGCUGCGGCAGCGAACGUAUCACUUAAAGCGAUUCAGCGGGUUACGAUUGACGGAGCGAAGCGACGUCAAAGCGUAUACAAAGUCGAGUCGGUUUAAGGAUACGUUCGUUGGGUAGGGGAGCGUUCUGUAAGCCUGUGAAGGUGGCCUGUGAGGGUUGCUGGAGGUAUCAGAA